rnacentral:rRNA from 1 species
UGGGGAAUAUUGCACAAUGGGCGCAAGCCUGAUGCAGCCAUGCCGCGUGUGUGAAGAAGGCCUUCGGGUUGUAAAGCACUUUCAGCGGGGAGGAAGGCGUUAAGGUUAAUAACCUUGGCGAUUGACGUUACCCGCAGAAGAAGCACCGGCUAACUCCGUGCCAGCAGCCGCGGUAAUACGGAGGAUGCAAGCGUUAAUCGGAAUUACUGGGCGUAAAGCGCACGCAGGCGGUCUGUCAAGUCGGAUGUGAAAUCCCCGGGCUCAACCUGGGAACUGCAUUCGAAACUGGCAGGCUAGAGUCUUGUAGAGGGGGGUAGAAUUCCAGGUGUAGCGGUGAAAUGCGUAGAGAUCUGGAGGAAUACCGGUGGCGAAGGCGGCCCCCUGGACGAAGACUGACGCUCAGGUGCGAAAGCGUGGGGAGCAAACAGG